rnacentral:sRNA from 1 species
AGCUGCGGGGACGACUCUUCUGGAGGAAGCAGCGCGGGCUUGACCGGCGUCGGCCCGCCGCCUCUGCUGCCGCUUCGCCCCAAUCCGGUCCCUCUGGCCCGGCCUGACCCGGUCUGGCUUGUUCGGGCUCAGCGGCCGCGAGGCCGCAGCUCCCGAUGGAAAUCAUAUUACAUAGAAUACUUGGGUGACAUCUGCCUGAGAGAUCUCCAAGAAUUACAGGUAUCUCAUUCAGUUGCUAAACUUAUAUUAGUUAAUUUCCACUGGCAAGUUUCAGAGAUAUUGGACAGAUACAAGUCCAAUUCUGCUCAACUGCUUGUUGAGGCUCGAGUUCAGCCUAAUCCAUCAAAACAUGUUCCCACAUCCCAUCCCCCUCACCACUGUGCAGUGUGUAUGCAGUUUGUGCGAAAGGAAAACCUACUCUCUCUGGCCUGUCAGCACCAGUUUUGCCGCAGCUGCUGGGAGCAGCACUGCUCAGUUCUCGUCAAGGACGGCGUGGGCGUGGGAGUCUCUUGUAUGGCUCAGGACUGUCCACUCCGUACACCAGAGGACUUUGUGUUUCCAUUGCUUCCCAGUGAAGAAUUGAGAGAGAAAUACAGGCGCUACCUCUUCAGAGACUAUGUGGAGAGUCAUUACCAGCUCCAGCUGUGCCCUGGUGCAGACUGCCCCAUGGUUAU